CGUAGGGUGCGAGCGUUGUCCGGGAAUUAUUGGGCGUAAAGGGCUCGUAGGCGGUUUGUCGCGUCGGGAGUGAAACGCCGUGCUUAACACGGCGCUUGCUUUCGAUACGGGCAGACUAGAGGUAUGCAGGGAGAACGGAAUUCCUGGUGUAGCGGUGAAAUGCGCAGAUAUCAGGAGGAACACCGGUGGCGAAGGCGGUUCUCUGGGCAUGACCUGACGCUGAGGAGCGAAAAGUGUGGGGAGCGAACAGGAUU
rnacentral:rRNA from 1 species